rnacentral:rRNA from 1 species
UACAGAGGUGGCAAGCGUUGUUCGGAAUUACUGGGCGUAAAGGGCGCGUAGGCGGUCUUUUAAGUUCCGUGUGAAAUCCCUCGGCUCAACUGGGGAACGGCACGGGAAACUGGAAGGCUUGAGUUCGGGAGAGGGAAGCGGAAUUCCGGGUGUAGCGGUGAAAUGCGUAGAUAUCCGGAGGAACACCGGUGGCGAAGGCGGCUUCCUGGACCGACACUGACGCUGAGGCGCGAAAGCUAGGGUAGCAAACGGG